rnacentral:lncRNA from 1 species
UCUUUCUUCACAGGGGAAGAAUGAAGAGAGGAAGAGAGAGGGUUUGGGAGUGAGAGAGAGAGAAUAUGGGGUUGGUGAAGGGAGGUUGAAGAAAAGAAGAAGAAUAAAAGAAAGAAAGGAAGAGGGAAAAGAAGAGAGGAAGAGGGGACUCAUCCUCCUCGUCGUGUGCGGCGGCCGCCGGCUUCGGCCGCGAGCACCGUCGUCACAGGCUCGGCCGAGGACGCCGCGGGGCCUAGCCGUGGACGCCGCCGGUUGUGGCCCGGCCUUCUUCCGCUCACCGUCCUCCCUUUCCGCUCGUCGUGCUCCCAUCGUCGGAGAAGAGAGGAAGGGGGAGAUCGGGAUGAAAGAAGAAGGGAGGAGAGGAAGCUUCGGGAAGGAGAAGAAAAGAAAAAGGAGAAGAGAAGAAAAGGAAAGAAAAAGGGAAAGAAAAAGAAAAAGAAAAAAAUAAGGAAAAGAGAAGGAAAAAAAAAGAAAAAAAAAUAAAAUGGGUUUAGCCAAAUUUGACUAACCCAAGCCCAAUUAGACUGGGCUAAGUCUAAAUCCGAGCUCAAUCAGAUUGGGCUAAGUUUGGACGAGCCCAAACUAUAAAUUGGGUUAAAUCCGAGCUAAUUUUAAGUUAAAUUGAAAUA